CCUUACGGGCGGUGAGUGCAACUGACGCUGAGGCUCGAAAGUGUGGGUAUCAAACAGGAUUAGAUACCCUGGUAGUCCACACAGUAAACGAUGAAUACUCGCGGUUGGUUCGUUAGAGUCAGCCGCCAAGCGAAAGCGUUAAGUAUUCCACCUGGGGAGUACGCCGGCAACGGUGAAACUCAAAGGAAUUGACGGGGGCCCGCACAAGCGGAGGAACAUGUGGUUUAAUUCGAUGAUACGCGAGGAACCUUACCCGGGCUUGAACUGCCAGUGACUCAUGCAGAGACGCAUGUUUCUUCGGACACUGGCGGAGGUGCUGCAUGGUUGUCGUCAGCUCGUGCCGUGAGGUGUCGGCUUAAGUGCCAUAACGAGCGCAACCCUUCUCCCUGUUUGCCAUCGGGUUAAGCCGGGCACUCCAGGGACACUGCCAUCGUAAGAUGUGAGGAAGGUGGGGAUGACGUCAAAUCAGCACGGCCCUUACGUCCGGGGCUACACACGUGUUACAAUGGGCGGUACAGAAAGCAGCUACCCCGCGAGGGGAUGCCAAUCUCAAAAACCGUUCUCAGUUCGGACUGGAGUCUGCAACCCGACUCCACGAAGCUGGAUUCGCUAGUAAUCGCGCAUCAGCCAUGGCGCGGUGAAUACGUUCCCGGGCCUUGCACACACCGCCCGUA
rnacentral:rRNA from 1 species